rnacentral:rRNA from 1 species
GCUCUUUGAGUCUUGCAGUUGGAAUGAGUACAAUUUAAACCCCUUAACGAGUAACAAUUGGAGGGCAAGUCUGGUGCCAGCAGCCGCGGUAAUUCCAGCUCCAAUAGCGUAUAUUAAAGUUGUUGCAGUUAAAAAGCUCGUAGUUGGAUUUCUGGUAUGGCGCACUUGGCCCGUCUCGGUUACGAGUUUGUGUGCCGGUGUGCGCCUGCCAUCUUUCUGGGGAACGGCUCUACCUUCACUGGUCGGGGUCGCUAGCCAGAUCUUUUA